rnacentral:rRNA from 1 species
UACGAAGGGAUCUAGCGUUGUUCGGAUUUACUGGGCGUAAAGGGCGCGUAGGCGGUUAUGUAAGUAAGAUGUGAAAGCCCUGGGCUUAACCCGGGAACUGCAUUUUAAACUGCAUAGCUUGAGUGUUGGAGAGGUAAGUAGAAUUCCCAGUGUAGAGGUGAAAUUCGUAGAUAUUGGGAAGAAUACCAGUGGCGAAGGCGACUUACUGGACAACAACUGACGCUGAGGCGCGAAAGCGUGGGGAGCAAACAGG